UUGGGUUGUUCUUUGUCCUUUAUGUUCGUUAGUACUUGUCGUAAUGUUGUUAAAAAAAAUAGUCGGUUGAAAAAACAUACAUUCCAAUAUUAAUAGUUCAGAGAAUGAAUUCUUUAAUAAAUACAGAAAAUUAACCAACAUUUGAUGUAUAAGAUAUUAACAUAUGUUUAAAAAAGUAUGAAUUCAGUUUUGUUUGCGGUGGAGGAACCCAUCCAGCUAAUUAGUAAACAGGUCAGUGGUAAAUGUAUCAAUGUUCACUCAACAAAUUUUGUAAUAGAAGGUUUGAACAUUUUUGGGAAAAUGCACCGCAGAGUUAUUGCACAUCGUUUAAGUGCAAAACGUCGUACAGCAGAUGUCUUAAUCAAUGAGAAAAUCGAUUUCUCAGGGUUAAUUUUAUCCAAAGAUGUCCUCAAAGGGUUGAAAAGUGCUGGAUUUGAAACACCAUCACCAAUUCAACUGAAAGCUAUUCCUAUUGGUCGUUAUGGUGUAGAUUUGAUUGCACAAGCCAAAUCUGGCACAGGGAAAACAUGUGCCUUUAGUGUGAUUGCUUUGGAAAGCAUCAUUCUUACAAUGAUGUCAAUACAAGUGUUGGUUCUUGUGCCGACUCGAGAGAUAGCUGUUCAAAUCAAGGAUGUAAUGAUCUCUAUUGGUCAACAUAUGCAAGGACUUCAUGAAAAUGUUUUUAUUGGUGGUUUGUCUAUUGAAGAAGACAAGAACAAGUUGAAACUUUGUCAAAUUGCUAUUGGUACACCAGGACGGGUGAAACAUCUAAUUGACAGCAAACUUUUGUGUACUUCUUCCAUUCGAUUGCUUAUUCUUGAUGAGGCUGAUAAACUAUUGGAGGAAAACUUUCAAGAUCAGAUCAAUUGGAUAUUUUCAACACUUCAUGAAAGCAAGCAAGUGUUGGCUUUGUCUGCAACCUAUCCAAACCAUCUUAGCGAGCAUUUACAGAAAUAUAUGAGAAAUCCAACUUUUGUUUGUUUAAAUGCCAUGGACCCUGCACUAGAAGGGAUUCAUCAUUAUUUUUGCACAAUACCAAGUCAUUCUCUCCCACAUAAAACAUUUGAUGAAAAGGUUAAUCAUUUACUGGUUAUGUUGUCACAGAUAUCCUUCCAUCAAUGCCUUAUCUUUUCUAACUAUCAAAUAAGGUGGUCAAGGCCAAAAUGAACGUCUUGAUGCAAUGAGGAAGUUGAAGGAGUUCAAAUGUCGUAUUUUGAUAUCAACAGAUCUUAUGUCUCGUGGCAUCGAUGCUGAACGGGUGAACCUUGUGAUUAACAUGGCUCUUCCAUGUGACUCUGAGACAUAUUUACAUAGAG